UGGGCGCGUAGCUCAACGGCAGAGCAGCCGGCUCAUAACCGGUCGGUUGGGGGUUCGAGUCCCUCCGCGCCCAUC
rnacentral:tRNA from 1 species